AUCGAUAAUCCACGAUAAAUUUCACUUUAAUUUAAAAUUAAUAUACCGCCAUCUUAAGAAUAAAUCAAAAAAUAUUUCUCCAAAAAAUAAAUAUAAAGUUAGGUCAAGGUGUAAUCAAUAUUAAAGAUUAAAAUGAAUUACAUUAAAAAUAAUUUAAAGAUUAUAGAUACAUAUAUCUAUAUAAAUAAGAAUUUAAAAGUAAUAUUUAAAUAAUAUUAAAAUAUGAUAUAGAUACUAAAUGUGUACACAUCGCCC
rnacentral:rRNA from 1 species